rnacentral:lncRNA from 1 species
UGAUAAUUGAAACCUAAGGUAAAAACUAAGUAUUUUUAAUGAAAUAACAUUUCUGAAAAAUAGUUACAUAUAGUGGCCCUACGUACGUGAGAUCUAGCAACACGCACGGGGGAGUGUCGGCCAAUCUCCCCAGCAAACAAUAGCCCCUACGAGCGUGGGGUAGCUAACCCUGGCCUCGUGGCACUCACGCAAGGUGAGGUCAGCUAGCUCUCCCUUCCUGAAUAUGAUCACAUUAAUGCAUGAAUGAAUGUUAAACUAAAUGAAAAUAUCAUAACAACGUCAACUAAUAAUUGAUAAUAUAUGUAAGCAUAUAAGACUGUCACAUUUUCAUACUACCGAAUAAGAAUAAGAAUAGAGUAAACUGAAUACUGGAGCACAAGGAGACAUAGCAUAGGAAUUUUAUCGAAUAUAUAUAGCACGUGGGUUCUAAUAGAAUUUCCUAUUAGGAGAGAAAUCUUUAAAACUUACCUUGAAUCCAAACUUAAAGAUCUGAUGCAAGAAUUUCAAUACUAAACCAUCGUAGUCCACCGCCAACAUUUGAUUGUUAAUAUGCCUCGACCUCGCGAUUUGUUUCUACCUAAUCCUUCAAGGAUUGCUGGGAUUUUCGUUGUUGACUUGUAAGCUAUCCAUAUCACUUUGUUCCCUUUCAAAAAUUGUCGUGGUGGAAUUUAAGUGACAAGCAUUAGCUAUUCUUCAAAUCCCUAUAAUUUUCCAUCUCAUUCCUACCAAAAGUGAAAUACAAUGAUGUAUAUGUCUCCCCCUAUGCUUCAUGUUUUGAGAAUAACUUACAGUAAAGCUAUUUUACUGUCCUUAUUUGGUAAUCCUUAAGUGGCUGCUAAAACCCUAUUUCUUUUCGUUUCAAUUUCGUGACCUGGCUGCUGUAUUUUCC